GUCAGAGCUAUCCAGAGGUGAGUGGAAUAACUCAUUACGUUUUAAAGCAAAUAAUGGACAUUUUAGCAUGAUUCACGCAUCAUAAAUGCCAUGAGAUAUACUAGGUUGCUUGCAUUAGAAUUCACGAAUAUGUUGCAUUGCAUAAUUUGUUGUUGAUGUGGAUGAACGUUGGAUGAUCCAUAGCUCUCGACCUAUGAUGUGACGAUAUGAUAUGUACGGUAUGUAAUGAAAGACCAGUGGGACCCAUUCUACGUUCGCUGGCACUAUGUAAGAGAAAGACCAGGACCCAUUCUACGUUCUGGCACAUUAGAAUGUUAUGUUAUGCUAUGUAAGGGAAAGA
rnacentral:lncRNA from 1 species